rnacentral:rRNA from 1 species
UACGGAGGGGGCUAGCGUUGUUCGGAAUUACUGGGCGUAAAGCGCACGUAGGCGGAUUGGAAAGUUGGGGGUGAAAUCCCAGGGCUCAACCCUGGAACUGCCUUCAAAACUGGAUGACUAGAGUUCGAGAGAGGUAAGGGGAAUUCCUAGUGUAGAGGUGAAAUUCGUAGAUAUUAGGAAGAACACCAGUGGCGAAGGCGCCUUACUGGCUCGAUACUGACGCUGAGGUGCGAAAGUGUGGGGAGCAAACAGG